rnacentral:rRNA from 1 species
UACGAAGGGACCUAGCGUAGUUCGGAAUUACUGGGCUUAAAGAGUUCGUAGGUGGUUGAAAAAGUUGGUGGUGAAAUCCCAGAGCUUAACUCUGGAACUGCCAUCAAAACUUUUCAGCUAGAGUAUGAUAGAGGAAAGCAGAAUUUCUAGUGUAGAGGUGAAAUUCGUAGAUAUUAGAAAGAAUACCAAUUGCGAAGGCAGCUUUCUGGAUCAUUACUGACACUGAGGAACGAAAGCAUGGGUAGCGAAGAGGAUUAGAUACCCUCGUAGUCCAUGCCGUAAACGAUGUGUGUUAGACGUUGGAAAUUUAUUUUCAGUGUCGCAGCGAAAGCGAUAAACACACCGCCUGGGGAGUACGACCGCAAGGUUAAAACUCAAAUGAAUUGACGGGGACCCGCACAAGUAGUGGAGCAUGUGGUUUAAUUCGAAGAUACGCGCAGAACCUUACCAACACUUGACAUGUUCGUCGCGACUUUAAGAGAUUAAAGUUUUCGGUUCGGCCGGACGAAACACAGGUGCUGCAUGGCUGUCGUCAGCUCGUGUCGUGAGAUGUUGGGUUAAGUCCCGCAACGAGCGCAACCCUCACUUUUAGUUGCCACCAUUAAGUUGGGCACUCUGAAAGAACUGCCAGUGAUAAGCUGGAGGAAGGUGGGGAUGACGUCAAGUCCUCAUGGCCCUUACGUGUUGGGCUACACACGUGCUACAAUGGUAUCUACAACAGGAAGCAAGACGGCGACGUUAAGCAAAUCCUUAAAAGAUACCUCAGUUCGGAUUGCACUCUGCAACUCGAGUGCAUGAAGCUGGAAUUACUAGUAAUCGUGGAUCAGCGUGCCACGGUGAAUGCGUUCCCGGGUCU